GCCUGGGUGGCUCAGUCGGUUAAGUGUCUGACUUCAGCUUAGGUCAUGACCUCACGGCUUGUGGGUUCAAGCCCCGCAUCAGGCU
rnacentral:tRNA from 1 species